rnacentral:rRNA from 1 species
UACGUAGGGGGCUAGCGUUGUCCGGAAUCAUUGGGUGUAAAGCGCGUGUAGGCGGUCCGGUAAGUCCGCUGUGAAAGUCGGGGGCUCAACCCUCGGAUGCCGGUGGAUACUGUCGGGCUUGAGUACGGAAGAGGCGAGUGGAAUUCCUGGUGUAGCGGUGAAAUGCGCAGAUAUCAGGAAGAACACCGUGGCGAAGGCGGCUCUCUGGGACGGUACUGACGCUGAGGAGCGAAAGCCAGGGAGCAAACGGG